UAUACUUCUUAAUGCAUGAGUCAUUUUUUAAGGCUGAUACGGUAAUUUCACAUGCUCUUGGAUCAACCCAUUAAGCUCUGGAUCGACCCAACAUCUUCCUCAUUCAAAUUAACAUUAUGAAAAGAUAUUUCGGAUCUUUAUGUGACCCGAACCAAAUUAGAUUGGAUCUACAACAUCUUCCAAUCAUAUCAAAAUUUGAAAAUAGCAUUGAAUGCAGUUCCUUCAAUCAUGCCACUCCAUUACGCUUAAUUAUCUCAAUCAAUCAUGACAGUUAAUCAGAACAAAUCCAUACUUAAUUAUCUCAAUCAAUCUCUUCCACCUCCAUUACGCUCUAUGCUGUUUUUUAUUUGAGAUUCUUAUAAUCCGUUUGCAUCUGUAAUCAUUUGAUCGUUUUUUUUCUCUCUCGAUUUGCAUAGUGUUUGGUAGUAACAUCUGUUUUAUAUUGCAGUGAUAACGGUGGUCGUGUUUUUUUAGCAUGGAGACAGAUUCAACGUCGUCAACAGGUUUUGCAAUCCUUUUUAUGGUACGUUAUGUUGCAGCAUCGAAAUCCUCGAUUAUAAUCGUAAAAUUUUAUUUCUGCAGGUGCCAAAAGAAAAGGACGUGGUCCAAGUGUUGAGACAAUUUCCAAGAAUCAAAAGAAAACACAUGCACCAGGUGUUUUCAUGUGGGGCGCUCAUUUGAUUCACAUGAUAAUGGAUUAAGGUAGCCACUGACUGAAAGUUUGGAAAGCUGGAGAGGCUUUUAUGAAAGUAUACGACCUACACAUAUGGGAUUGUCGCUUAGCAUUGGUCUGCUGAAUAGAGAUGAUUCGUCCCGGCCACCAUCGGAUGCUCAUCGUGUGAAGAUUUGUAUUCACUUUUCCUCAACAUCUGCUUUAUUGACAAGAGACACCGAGAAUGAAUAUGAUGCAAUUUCCGUCCAGAUACAUGGAUCUAACCUCCUACAACUCAUAUGUAAAUAGAGAAAUAUAGUCAAAAUAUAUUUGGUUUUCAAUGAUUUUGGCAUUUAUUAUUACAAUCUUUUUUUGUAUAAUAUGUAGUGGUUUCCAUUUUCACUAUAUUCAAUUUUCAA